rnacentral:rRNA from 1 species
AAGUUAAGAUAGCCAUGCACGUCUAGUACAAACUAAAUGAUGGUGAAACUGCAAAUGGCUCAUUACAACGGUUAUGAUGUACCCGGGAGUUCCGAUGGAUAUUUCCAGUAACACUAGAACUAAUACAUGUCCCUGCGUUUAUUAGUUUCGCACAGUCCGUCGCUGAGUCAUGGUAAACAGUUGAUCGACUCGACGUCCCGGAACAGUUUCCGCCCCAUCAGCUUCGAUGGUUGGGUAUUGGCCUACCAUUGCAACAACGGGUAACGAGGAAUUAGGGUUUGAUUUCGGAGAGGGAGCCUGAGAAACGGCUACCACAUCUACGGAUGGCAGCAGGCGCGCAAAUUACCCAAUGCAGACACUGUGAGGUAGUGACGAGAAAUAAUAAAGCGGGACUUCUGUUUCGCUAUUAUAAUGAGGAAUAACCAAAGGUCAUUCCGAUUAGCAACUGAUGGGAAAGUCUGGUGCCAGCAGCCGCGGUAAUACCAGCGUCAGUAGCAUAUGAAAACUUACCAGGUCAAGACAUGGGCGUG